UGUUUUAUCUUGGAAGUU
rnacentral:sRNA from 1 species